UCCUUUCCCUGGGCGGGAACAGCAAAAUGGCGCCAGAACUAGUGGCGGGCUGAGGACGCUGGCUCCCCUCGAAGACGGUCCUGCGGUCCCCGGGCCGCCCCGGCCCCUCCCGGACAUGGAGGACGUGGAGGCGCGCUUCGCCCAUCUGCUGCAGCCCAUCCGCGACCUCACUAAGAACUGGGAGGUGGACGUGGCGGCCCAGCUGGGCGAGUAUCUAGAGGAGCUGGACCAGAUCUGCAUUUCUUUUGACGAGGGGAAAACCACAAUGAACUUCAUUGAGGCAGCGCUGUUGAUCCAGGGGUCUGCCUGUGUCUACAGUAAGAAGGUGGAAUACCUCUACUCACUGGUCUACCAGGCUCUUGAUUUCAUCUCUGGCAAGAAGCGGGCCAAGCAGCUCUCCCCAGUGCGGGAAAAUGGGGCCAAUGGGGACACCAGCUCCACAGCUCCCCAGGAGGCGGAGGACCAGUUCCUGUCGCUGGAUGACCUCCCUGACUCCCGUGCUAAUGUGGAUCUGAGGAACGACCUGCCCCCCCGUGAGGUCCUCAUCGUCCCUCUUCUGCCCAUGGCCCUUGUGGCCCCUGAUGAGAUGGAGAAGAAUGCCAGCCCCCUGUACAGCUGUCAGGGGGAGGUCCUGGCCAGCCGGAAGGAUUUUAGGAUGAAUACGUGUACCCCCCACCCCAGAGGAGCCUUCAUGUUGGAGCCAGUGGGCAUCUCCCCCAUGGAGACACUGAUGCCAAGGAACCAGAAGGAGCCUGAGAGGGCUCAGGAGCAGCCAAUGGAAGUCCCUGUGGUCAGCGUCUCCCAGGAGCCAGGUGCCUCUCCAGAAGGCCCAAUGCCUGGAGGUGGUGGUGAGGAUGAUGCAGAGGGGGCAGCAGAGCUCCCUGAAGCCACAGCCCCCGAGGGCCCUCAGGAACCCCAGGAACCCAGGAGCCCGCAGCAGGGUGCUGCCCAGCCUAGUCGGUGCGUGCUACGGGAGCGAGAGGAGCCAGCGCCCCUGAUGAAGGAGACUCCGGACCCCUGGCAGAGCCUGGACCCCUUUGACUCCCUGGAUUCUAAGCCCUUCAAGAAAGGUAGGCCGUACUCUGUGCCCCCUUGCGUGGAGGAGGUUCCAGGACAGAAGCGCAAGAGGAAGGGCGCCACCAAGCUGCAGGACUUCCACCAGUGGUACCUGGCUGCCUAUUCUCUUGAAGAUGCUGACCACGCUGACAGCAGGAGGCCCCGGCGAAAGGGCCCGUCCUUUGCAGACAUGGAGGUCCUGUACUGGAAGCAUGUGAAGGAGCAAUUGGAGACUCUCCGGAAGCUGCAGAGGCGGGAGAUGGCCGAGCGGUGGCUGCCGAGGCCUGAGGAAGGGCUGUGGCCUGUGGAGGACCAGCUGGAGGACUCCCUGGAGGAUCUGGGGACAGCAGCAGAUGACUUUCUAGAGCCUGAGGAGUAUGCAGAGCCUCAGGAGGCAAAGCCUGGGGAAGCUGCAGACCUGGAAGCAGAGGCCAUGCCAGUGUCCCUGAGCUAUGAGGAGCUGGUCCGAAGGAAUGUGGAGCUCUUCAUCGCCACCUCUCAGAAGUUCGUCCAGGAGACAGAGCUGAGCCAGCGCAUCAGAGACUGGGAGGACACUAUCCAGCCCCUGCUCCAAGAGCAGGAUCUUGCCCCUCCUCCUUGCAGGAACAGCAUGUGCCCUUUGACAUCCAUACUUACGGGGACCAGGUAGUCUCAAGGUUCAGCCAGCUCAACCAGUGGUGUCCCUUUGCGGAGCUAGUUGCUGGCCAACCUGCCUUCGAGGUGUGUCGUUCCAUGCUGGCGUCCCUGCAGCUGGCCAACGACUACACCGUGGAGAUCACCCAGCAGCCGGGGCUGGAGGCGGCCGUGGACACCAUGUCCCUGAGACUACUCACGCACCAGCGGGCCCACAAGCGCUUCCAGACCUAUGCUGCCCCCUCCAUGGCCCAGCCCUGAUUUGGGGAGCACUGAGGCUGAGGGGUGGGCUCUGGAGGUCCAUCCCUCAUGGGUGCUAGGCAUGCAUCUGCUCACUCUACCCUUGUUUCCUGGCUGGCCCAGCCCAAUAAAAUGGUGUUGCCAUCCCACCUAA